CCUACGGGUGGCUGCAGUAACGAAUCUUCCACAAUGCGCGAAAGCGUGAUGGAGCAAUGCCGCGUGCAGGAUGAAGCCCUUCGGGGUGUAAACUGCUGUCAGGUUUUAGGAACACAAUGACCAAAGCCAAAGGAAGAGACGACUAACUCUGUGCCAGCAGUCGCGGUAAUACAGAGGUCUCGAGCGUUAGUCGGAGUCACUGGGCUUAAAGCGUACGUAGGCGGAUCUGCAGGCGUCGUGUGAAAUCCCUCGGCUCAACCGGGGAACUGCACGGCGAACCGCAGGUCUUGAGAAAGGUAGGGGCGGUCGGAACGAUAGGUGGAGUGGUGAAAUGCGUUGAUAUCUAUCGGAACGCCGAAGGUGAAGACAGGCCGCUGGGCCUUUUCUGACGCUGAGGUACGAAAGCGUGGGUAGCGAACGGGAUUAGAUACCCUGGUAGU
rnacentral:rRNA from 1 species